CAGCACCUCAAGUGGUCAGGAUGAUUAUUGGGCCUAAAGCAUCCGUAGCCGGCUCUGUAAGUUUUCGGUUAAAUCUGUAUGCUCAACAUACAGGCUGCCGGGAAUACUGCAGAGCUAGGGAGUGGGAGAGGUAGACGGUACUCGGUAGGAAGGGGUAAAAUCCUUUGAUCUAUUGAUGACCACCUGUGGCGAAGGCGGUCUACCAGAACACGUCCGACGGUGAGGGAUGAAAGCUGGGGGAGCGAACCGGAUUAGAUACCCGCGUAGUCC
rnacentral:rRNA from 1 species